GUAGUCCUUGCCGUAAACUAUGUAUACUUGGUGUAACUGGACUCAACCCCGGUUGUGCCGAGGCGAACGCGUUAAGUAUACCGCCUGGGGAGUACAGUCGCAAGGCUGAAACUCAAAAGAAUUGACGGGGACCCGCACAAGCAGUGGAGCAUGUGGUUUAAUUCGAUGCAACGCGAAGAACCUUACCCAGAUUUGACAUGCACCGGACAGUCCCAGAAAUGGGAUCUUCCUUCGGGACCGGUGCACAGGUGCUGCAUGGCUGUCGUCAGCUCGUGCCGUGAGGUGUUUGGUUAAGUCCAGCAACGAGCGCAACCCUUAUCGUUAGUUGCCAACAUUUCGGAUGGGAACUCUAACGAGACUGCCGAGGUUAACUCGGAGGAAGGUGAGGAUGACGUCAAGUCCGCAUGGCCCUUAUAUCUGGGGCUACACACGUGCUACAAUGGACGGUACAGAAGGCGGCGAAACCGCGAGGUGGAGCAAAUCCCCAAAACCGUCCUCAGUUCAGAUUGCAGUCUGCAACUCGACUGCAUGAAGACGGAAUUGCUAGUAAUGGCGAGUCAGCUACAUCGCCGUGAAUA
rnacentral:rRNA from 1 species